UUAGACAUUUCUGUAAUUUUUACAGUUAUUUACUGUAUAUCACCCAGUAUAAUACUGUAAACUAUUUAUACAGUACAUAACUGUAAUUCGCGUUGCAUUUUGGGAAUUUUCGGUGACAUCAUACAUCAUAUACAGUAAUCUACUUUAUUUUUGAAAAUUGCUGUAUGCUACUGUAUAUUUUCUAACAGUCUUUUGGCGGUAUUUUCCUUAUUCACACAAAUCCUUAUUUUAUUUUUCUCAAAAUCAUCAUUUUUGACAAUUGUAUACACACAGGCGUUGACUUAUUUUAGCUAAGGAACCAUGUAGCAGCACAGGUGUUCAGAGGACCGAUUUCAGGUGUGCACAUAAACUGAAGAGUUUUCAAACAAGACUUUAUGGCCUUUCCCUGGGACAGCGGCGCUUUUCAGUUGAAGAUACACGAGAGGAGAGACUGAAAAAAGACCAGCAAGGAGGAUGUAACAAAAUACACUGCAAGAACUGGAGUGAGGAUGAAGAGGACAACAGAAUAUCCAUCCUUUCUUGACCACCUCACAGAGUUUGAGUGAAACAACUUGUAUUAGGACUCACAGGAUUAUUUUAUACCAGAAGUAUGGUAUUUUUUUGAAGCUACUGUAUUAUUUCUUAUGACAAUUCAUUUUGAUGUGCAUUCAGAACUGUAAGUUGGUAAGUACAUUUACUGUAUUUACUGUAAGUAAAGGCUAAAGAGUAUAUCUCCUAUAGUUCUAAUUUCUAGUUCUAAGUUUUAACAACGUUCCCAAAGGUCCCGAUAAUGUUAAGCCAACAUAAAAGUGUCCAGUUUUUAAAUUGUUUAGGAAUGUUUCUUGAUUGUGCGAAUGUUAGAGGAAUGUUACAUUUUAUUUUCAGACAAUGUCAUGCUUAAAUGUACUCACAAUGUUUAAAACACAUGUUUAGUAUAUUUUAUGAAUGUUUAUAUGCAAUAUUUUAACAGAAAAUUAAGAAAUAAUCUUUUACAACAGUUUGUAAAUAAUAGAAUGUAAUGUUUUUUUUAUCAUUACAAGCAAAAACAAUCAUAACGUUAUUCGGAACUUUGGGAACUUUCAAGGAACAUUCUUAGACCUUUCUCUGUGGUUGAGCAUUGUGUUAGCAUCAUUAAACGCCAUGGGUUCAAACAAGGGAAUGCACAUGCUGAUAAAAAAUGUAUACUUUGCAUUGCACUGUAUGUUAUUUGCCUUUUUCUGUAAAUGUGAAGAUAAAUGUAAAGACAGACAUUGUUUCAUUUUAAACCAGUUCUAUUUUAAGAGAACUUAACUAGACUAAAUAAAAUGGUCACAAAAAAUUUAAUUUUGCUAUUAUGAUGCUGAUUUUGUGGUGUUAUGGGUUUUCUGGUUACAGUGGUAGUGGAUCAUGAUCACCUCUCUAGCUUCAAAAGUAGGAUGCAAAAUGUAUAACACCAAAUCAUUAUAGCAUAACUCCAUGUAACUUGACAUAAUUUAAAGUUGUCUAAAGGCAGACAUGAUUGCGUGUGAAGUCCUAUGCCAAAGACUCUCCAAAUACUGAAUCUACCCAUUCUUCCUGAUGUGUAUAUUUUGUUGGUAUGUCCUGGUUGUUGCAGACCUGACAGUAAACUUGACUGUGAGCAUCCUAUCCAUCAGGUAUAGCUGUUUACUUGCAUUACUCAUUUAGAGAAAUGACGGGUCAAAAUUGAUUAUAUGGAUUAUAUUUUCAUCACCCCUUUUUGUAUGUCUUUGGGACACUUGAGAUAUAGGCUCUGUUUACACGUACAUGGUUAUUUUUAAACACUGAGAGAUUUACCUUCAUUUGUGCCCCUCGUUUACACGCAAACGGAGAACUCGCCUCUGAAACCGAUUGUUUCUAAGAACUCCGGCCAGAGUGGAGAUCUUGAAAAUCUUCGGUUGCACGGUUGCAUGUAAAGUGAGACAAACGGAUGUUUAAGCAGGCAACGUCACAGAGUAUGCGCCAGAGCUCGCACCUACGUCAAAAGUGCGACCCAUGUUUACAUGUGACUGCUACUCUGAACACUUCCAAUAUCACAUUUAUGUUCGUGCAAACUCUUUUCGUGUGUUUGUAUUUGCAAAUACAGCUGCUCCAUUAUGUCGAGGAGCAGAGACGAGUGCUCUGAGGUCAGCAAUUUUACGCGUGUGUGACUUCAUGCGGCGCUGCAACGGAUGAUGUCAAAGUCCCGCGAGAGCGAUUCGAAAUUAGACCUCUACGUAUGAUUCCUCAACUCGCUCUCGCGGUACUUUGACGUCAUCGAUCACCUACUGCAACAACUCCUCCCUCCAACAUGAAGAACCAGUUCGCGUCACCACCAGCGCAGCCGGUGAUUGGCUUACGUGGGCUUGAGCUUCUCUUGACGGCAAAUAUGCACGGGUACGUGUAAAUAAACACUUUUCUGAAAACUGACAUGUGUGCACGAUAUUAUUUUUGAAACCGGAGAGGUUGAAAUGUCCGUUUAUGAAAAUAACCGCCCACGUGUAAACAUAGCCAUAUAGCAUGUAUAAUGUGGAGCCAUUUUAUAAUGCGGUCACAGACUACUCCCAUUGUAACUGGAAAACCAAAGAAAAUCAUUGUUUAAAUUAUAUAUAAUUUUUGGAUUAACUAAACCUGUAAUCAGUGAUAUAUGUAUGUAUGUUUAUAAUUUAUGUUAUUUUAAAUAUAUUAAAUGAAUUGUAAUUUCACACAACUUCUUAAAGUAUUUGUAUUGUUUUAAAUAAAGGCUUCAAUAUUUGAAAUUGUCUCUUUGAAUUAAAUGUUAGCAGUAUCUGUAGGUUAAAAUGUAAAAAUUAAUUUUAUCUAAAAAUUAUAGCUAAUUUAAAUAUAAUAAAAAUGAAUGUAUAAAAAAAUAAAAAGAAUAGUAGUAUGUUAUACAGUAGUAUACUGCAAACCUGGGUUUUUUACGGUAGCACACUGUAUUACAUAUUUACAGUAGCAUUUAAAUACUGUAAAAUGGAAAUACAGUUUAGAACUGUAAAUCUUAUUUACAGUAGCCUACUGGCAACAGUGUUGCCAGUAGGUUACUGUAAAAAUCCUUGAAAAUGUCUAACA